GAUGAACGCUGGCGGCGUGCCUAAUACAUGCAAGUCGAGCGAACAGACGAGGAGCUUGCUCCUCUGACGUUAGCGGCGGACGGGUGAGUAACACGUGGAUAACCUACCUAUAAGACUGGGAUAACUUCGGGAAACCGGAGCUAAUACCGGAUAAUAUAUUGAACCGCAUGGUUCAAUAGUGAAAGACGGUUUUGCUGUCACUUAUAGAUGGAUCCGCGCCGCAUUAGCUAGUUGGUAAGGUAACGGCUUACCAAGGCAACGAUGCGUAGCCGACCUGAGAGGGUGAUCGGCCACACUGGAACUGAGACACGGUCCAGACUCCUAAGGGAGGAAGCAGUAGGGAAUCUUACGCAAUGGGCGAAAGCUUGACGGAGCAACGCCGCGUGAGUGAUGAAGGUCUUCGGAUCGUAAAACUCUGUUAUUAGGGAAGAACAAAUGUGUAAGUAACUAUGCACGUCUUGACGGUACCUAAUCAGAAAGCCACGGCUAACUACGUG
rnacentral:rRNA from 1 species